UCUCCAGGGCAGUCUCCUGCUCAGCUGUGAGAAGUCUCCACCUAACCUCCAUAUUCUCCAGGGCAGUCUCCUGCUCAGCUGUGAGAAGUCUCCACCUAACCUCCAUAUUCUCCAGGGCAGUCUCCUGCUCAGCUGUGAGAAGUCUCCGCCUACCUCCAAUAGAUGGCCGCCUCUCAGUUCUGCAAAAAUGGAAUUUGACCAUUACUGACCUAUGGUCAUCCAUUACAACAUUACAUGUAUCACAGUAACAACAAGGCAAAUGAGCUGUUUUCCCUUCUGAAAGUACAGACAAUGGAUGCAACCGUGUAACAGCUUAGGUUGGGCUGCACUAGCUGUCCAGCUUCUCAUAGUCCUCCCAUGUAUGAGCACAUGAUGAACUAGUGUGACACGGAUUUCAUCUGAGAUUACCUGUCUUUGUUGUUGUCGUUGUCGUCCUCUUCCUCUCUGUUGUCUUGCAACUUCAGCAUUGUUAGGAUCCAUUGUUCCAAAGCACAUGGACAUGCCUCUACGCCCCAUUUAUUGAUCCUGCAAUUCUGAUUGGUGUGUUAACAAUUUUGAGGCUUAAUGUUUGCACGUGGAGAAAGGUGUGCUCUUUGAGUUUAGGUUGUGAUGACUUGAGUUAAUUAUAUUGAGAGCAUGUUUGCUGAAUGAAUAUAUAGUGCAAUGAAUGAUUUAUUUGGCCACUUUUGUGAAGGUUUUGCAGAAAGAGUUUUGAAUAUGGAAACGUGUGGAAACGGGUGAAUAGUGUUUACGGUUAUGGGAAAUGUGCGUUUUGGGGAAUGACGUAAGGGUAUGGGUUUUUGUGCUACAGGAACCAGUUUUUGUGUUUAAGCAAUCGAGAAAAACUGUCAAUUGACUUGUGUCUCUUUCGGCUGUGGUGUGCUAUUUCCUGUGUGUACUGUACCUUUUCUAUCUAAUAGGUAUUUAGACAUUUUAAAACUGAGAAUGUCAGAGACAAACAUUUCAUGUCUUGAAAUAAGCACUUAUAUGGACGACAAAAUGUGUCCCUGACAUGUAGAUUGAUACUGAUGCUUUGUGAUCUAAUGCACUAGUCAAUAUGAUGUGAAUAUUAUUAUUUUGCCAUUACAAAAUAAGGUAUAGUUGUAUUUUUUUGGUUUGUUUGUUUUUUUCCCCCCUAAACCACGUCCUUGUAAGUACAUAAGUCUCCAAGAGAAUAUCACAGGACUAGUUCCUCAAACCAAACCUAUCGGCCUGGAUUUACAGAUCUGCUGUUGUCCCUAUGUGUAUCAGCUGCAGACAAUUGGAUUGCUCAAUAACACUAAUUAUUGGCUUGUUUUGGUCAAAUGUGUGUGACAUCUGAUGUUUUUGUUCCCAAAUCUGCCGGGAAUGUGGUGUGUGUGUGUGUGUGUGUGUGUGUGUGUGUGUGUGUGUGUGUGUGUGUGUGUGUGUGUGUGUGUGUGUGUGUGUGCGCCUGUGUGUGUGUGUGUGUGCGCCUGAGUGUGUGUAUGUUUGUUUAACCUCUGCCUUAGCUUAAGGUCCUUAAUGAAGUGAUAACAUGAAGGUUAAUAUGUGGGCAUGUCUGAUAGGAGUCAACAUGCAGUGAGCUCCAGAAGUAUUGGGACACUGGCAAUGUUGCUGUUGUUGUUUUGGCUCUGUUCUCCACCACUUUGAAUUUGAAAUUAUACAAUGACUACGAGAUUAGAGUGAAGACUGACAGCUUUCAUUUCAGGUUAUUUUAAUCCGUAUCGGGUUAAAGCAGCACCUUAUCUGCAAGCAGCACCUUAUCACUUGUUUAGAAAUUCCAGCACUUUUUGUACAUAGUCCCCCAUUUUAGAGAACCAAAAGUAUUGGGACAAAUUCACUUAAAUGUGUAUUAAAGUAGUCCUAACGUUUAGUAUUUGGUCCCAUAUACCUAGUACGCAAUGAUUACAUGUAGCUUGUGACUCUACAAACUUGUUGGAUUCAUUUUCUGUUUGUUUUUGUUGUGUUUCAGAUUAUUUUGUGCCCAAUAUGAAUUAAUGGUAAAUAAUGUAUUCAUUCAGAACCAAAAAUGUACCUGAUUAAUGUAGACGUGUUUAGAAAGAUAUUAUAUUCUUAUUUACAAUAAAAGUGACUCCAAAAUGACACUACAUUAUUUACCAUUCAUUGCUAAAUGCUCCACUGUCCCAAUAAUUAUGGAGGGCACUGUAGACGCCAGCCGUUCAUGUUGCAGCAGAUACGUUUCUGUGUCACUAUAUCAUUUUUUACAGUUAAACUUAUUUUUAUAACGUGAAGAGAACUUAAUUAUAUUUUGGUUAUAAAUGAGUUUUAAUUCAUUACUUGUGUAUAAAUGCAUUUAUUAGUUGUACUGUUUUAUACAUACCCAUGCAUGUCCAUCGUUACCUCUGCCUACCUUCUCUCCAGUUAAGGAGCCUGUUGACACUGGAAUAAACUUCAAAUUCAAAUCAAAUCAAAUGUUAUUAGUCACAUGCACCAAAUACAACAGGUGUAGACCUUACAGUGAAAUGCUUACUUACGAGCCCCUAACCAACAAUGCAGUUAAAAAAAAGAUGAAUAAGAAUAAUAAAUAAAAGUAACAAGUAAUUAAAGAGCAGCAGUAAAAUAACAAUAGCGAGACUAUAUACAGGGCGGUACCGGUACAGAGUCAAUGUGCGGGGGCACCGGUUAGUCGAGGUAAUUGAGGUAAUAUGUACAUGAAGGUAGAGUUAUUAAAGUAGCUAUGCAUAGAUUAUAACAACAGAGAGUAGC
rnacentral:lncRNA from 1 species